rnacentral:rRNA from 1 species
UACGUAGGGGGCAAGCGUUGUCCGGAAUCAUUGGGCGUAAAGAGCGUGUAGGCGGCCCGAUAAGUCCGCCGUGAAAGUCCAGGGCUCAACCCUGGGAUGCCGGUGGAAACUGUCGGGCUAGAGUCCGGAAGAGGCGAGUGGAAUUCCUGGUGUAGCGGUGAAAUGCGCAGAUAUCAGGAGGAGCACCGGUGGUGUAGACGGCGUACUGGACCACGACUGACACUGAGGCACGAAAGCGUGGGUAGCAAACAGG